rnacentral:rRNA from 1 species
GACAGAGGGUGCAAGCGUUGUCCGGAUUUACUGGGCGUAAAGAGCGCGCAGGCGGUCGUUCAAGUCGCGUGUGAAAGCCCCCGGCUCAACUGGGGAGGGUCACGCGAUACUGAUCGACUCGAAGGCAGGAGAGGGAAGUGGAAUUCCCGGUGUAGUGGUGAAAUGCGUAGAUAGUCGGAGGAACACCAGUGGCGAAGGCGACUUCCUGGCCUGUUCUUGACGCUGAGGCGCGAAAGCUAGGGGAGCAAAGCGGG